GCGAGACAACUGGCCCCGCGGCGCGUUGUGACCGAUAAACUGCCGUCGGACCGUGCCGGGCGCAGCUCCCGGACGGUCCGGCCAUGAUCAGCCAGCAGCCGCUGCAACCACAGGGAG
rfam:Streptomyces sp. PVA 94-07 chromosome, whole genome shotgun sequence.